CAGAUUGAACGCUGGCGGCAGGCCUAACACAUGCAAKUCGAGCGGAAACGAUGGDAGYUUGCUSCCAGGCGUCGAGCGGCGGACGGGUGAGUAACGCGUGAGAAUCUGCCCAUUUGUGGGGGAUAACUCGGGGAAACUCGAGCUAAUACCGCAUAAUCCCUACGGGGGAAAGCAGGGGACCUUCGGGCCUUGUGCAGAUGGAUGAGCUCGCGUCGGAUUAGCUUGUUGGUGAGGUAAAGGCUCACCAAGGCGACGAUCCGUAGCUGGUCUGAGAGGAUGAUCAGCCACACCGGGACUGAGACACGGCCCGGACUCCUACGGGAGGCAGCAGUGGGGAAUCUUGGACAAUGGGGGCAACCCUGAUCCAGCCAUGCCGCGUGUGUGAAGAAGGCCUUCGGGUUGUAAAGCACUUUCAGUAGGGAGGAAGGCUUACCGCUAAUAACGGUGAGUACUUGACGUUACCUACAGAAGAAGCACCGGCUAAUUUCGUGCCAGCAGCCGCGGUAAUACGAAAGGUGCGAGCGUUAAUCGGAAUUACUGGGCGUAAAGCGCGCGUAGGCGGUUUGUUAAGUCAGAUGUGAAAGCCCCGGGCUCAACCUGGGAAUUGCAUUUGAAACUGGCAGGCUAGAGUGCAGUAGAGGGAGGUGGAAUUUCCGGUGUAGCGGUGAAAUGCGUAGAGAUCGGAAGGAACACCAGUGGCGAAGGCGCCUCCUGG
rnacentral:rRNA from 1 species